CCUACGGGAGGCAGCAGUGAGGAAUAUUGGUCAAUGGACGAGAGUCUGAACCAGCCAAGUAGCGUGAAGGAUGACUGCCCUAUGGGGUGUAAACUUCUUUUAUAAGGGAAUAAAACGAGGCACGUGUGCCUUUUUGCAUGUACUUUAUGAAUAAGGAUCGGCUAACUCCGUGCCAGCAGCCGCGGUAAUCCGGAGGAUCCGAGCGUUCUCCGGAUUUAUUGGGUUUAAAGGGAGCGUAGAUGGGUUGUUAAGUCAGUUUUGAAAGUUUGCGGUUCAACCGUAAAAGUGCAAUUGAUACUGGCAGUCUUGAGUACAGUUGAGGUAGGCGGAAUUCGUGGUGUAGCGGUGAAAUGCUUAGAUAUCACGAAGAACCCCGAUUGCGAAGGCAGCUUACUAAACUGUGACUGACAUUGAUGCACGAAAGUGUGGGUAUCAAACAGGAUUAGAUACCCCUGUAGUC
rnacentral:rRNA from 1 species